rnacentral:tRNA from 1 species
AAUCUUAUAUUUUAAUUUAAAAAUAUUAAAUUGCAAAUUUAAAGAUGUUUAUUUACUAAGAUUU